UACGUAGGGGGCAAGCGUUGUCCGGAAUCAUUGGGCGUAAAGCGCGCGCAGGUGGUUCCCUAAGCCCGGCGUGAAAGCCCCCGGCUCAACCGGGGAGGGUCGUCGGGGACUGGUGAACUUGAGGGCGGCAGGGGCUGGUGGAAUCCCCGGUGUAGUGGUGAAAUGCGUAGAGAUCGGGGGGAACACCCGUGGCGAAGGCGGCCAGCUGGGCCGACCCUGACACUGAGGCGCGAAGGCGUGGGGAGCGAACGGG
rnacentral:rRNA from 1 species